GAAUUAUUCCCUCCGUCCGAAAAUACUUGUCAUUGAAAUGAAUAUAUCUAGAUGUAUUUUAGUUAUAGAUACAUUCAUUUUCAUCAAUUUUGAUGAAGUAAUUCCGGACGGAGGAAGUAUAUG
rfam:Triticum aestivum genome assembly, contig: Triticum_aestivum_CS42_TGACv1_scaffold_406689_5BL